GAUGAACGCUGGCGGCGUGCUUAACACAUGCAAGUCGAACGAAGCACUUUAUUUGAUUUCCUUCGGGACUGAUUAUUUUGUGACUGAGUGGCGGACGGGUGAGUAACGCGUGGGUAACCUGCCUUGUACAGGGGGAUAACAGUUGGAAACGGCUGCUAAUACCGCAUAAGCGCACAGCAUCGCAUGAUGCAGUGUGAAAAACUCCGGUGGUAUAAGAUGGACCCGCGUUGGAUUAGCUAGUUGGUGAGGUAACGGCCCACCAAGGCGACGAUCCAUAGCCGACCUGAGAGGGUGAUCGGCCACAUUGGGACUGAGACACGGCCCAAACUCCUACGGGAGGCAGCAGUGGGGAAUAUUGCACAAUGGGCGAAAGCCUGAUGCAGCGACGCCGCGUGAGCGAAGAAGUAUUUCGGUAUGUAAAGCUCUAUCAGCAGGGAAGAUAAUGACGGUACCUGACUAAGAAGCACCGGCUAAAUACGUG
rnacentral:rRNA from 1 species